AUGUAUCCAUGUAUGUAUAUCUAGGUAUAUUGAUGUGAAUGAGAAGAAUGUAUACGGUAUGGCCGGACUUCAUGUUGCCUGUAGAUUCAAUAUCGUCAGUGCUGUCUCAGAUAUGCUCAGGCAUCCUGGAAUAUUAGUAAAUGAGAAAACAAUUCUAGGGAGCACACCGCUGAUGGUAGCGGUAAAAUACGCCAGCAAGCAAGCAGUAGAACAUCUCAUUAGAGACAAGAGAGUAGAUCUGGAUACAGUAGAUAAUAGAAACAGAAGACUGGAAGAAACUAUAGGAGCUGCUCUUCAUUCCCCCUCAGCUUCUGAAACUGCUCAUAUUCACGAAAUUAUACAGGACGAGAGACGGUUUCGGUCCGAGGGAGAAGGAAGAAGGAAUAGUCUUGAAGAAGAAGGAUUAGCUAUUGAUGGAACUCAUAGAACCCGAGUAUUCGGGAAGUUAAAGGAGCUGCUUGAGGAGCUCCGUGAGCUGCACAAGACUGAGUUGGAUAAACUUGAGCUGAGGCAAGAGGAGGAGGGUAGACAGCUCAUCACUAGGAUGGAUGAACAGAUCCAGCAGCUCAUCACACACCAGGAGCAGGAGAGGAUGAUGUUAAUGGAGAGAUUAAUGUUGGAGAAGGAGGAGUAUGGAACAAGACAGGAGGAGGAAAUGUGUCGGCUACUCAAGAAGCAGGAGGAGGAAUCACAGUUUCUUGCAAGAACCAGACCUGAUGCAGAUCUUUGUUCAUCAGGGAGUCCCAGACCACAGAGUACAAGAAGACCGAGUUUACAGGGGAUGAGUGACAAAAUGUCUCAGGGAGGAGGGGGUAGUGUAUGUAGUGGUUCCCCCUGGGAAUUCAGUACAACGGAUGAAGGAUACCUCACAAGUAAGGAAACUGAACUGCCUGAAAUGAUCCAUAGUGCUUGGAAGGAGCUUGAGUGCCCUAUUUGCAUGGAGGUAAUGGCUCCCCCAAGUAGGAUUUGGCAGUGUAAAAUGGGUCACGUGAUCUGUGAAUCUUGCAAGGACAGGGUGUCUUUGGAAAAUGGAGCCCAGCCUCCCUGUCCCACCUGUAAAACUGCUCCAUUUAUCGGACGAAAUUUAGCGCUGGAGCGUGUAGCGCGUUCUCUUUUCACAUCCAAGCAAUAGAUAUGAUAAAUAUGAUCUUUAUCCAGAACUUAAGCUGAACUUAAGCUGAAUUAAAGUUUAACUUGAGCUGAAGUUAAUCUGAAAUCAAGCUGAACUAAAGUUUAACUAAAGUCGAACUAAAGCUGAACUGAAGUUGAAUUAAAUAUCAACUGAAGCUGAACUUUAGCUGAACUUAGUUCAAAUUAAAGUUUAACUAAAGCUGAACUAAAGUUGAAUUAAAGUUGAACUUAUGCUGAACUAAAGUUGAACUAAAGUCGAACUUAGGCCGAAUUAAAGUCUAACUUAAGUCGAACUAAAGUCUGACUAAAGUUGAACUAAAGUUGAACUGUAUAGUCGAACUAGUUUUCUCUCUAUGUAAUGCAGGGUUUACCACAACGGAUAAGGCUUCAUGAGACGAUUGUUCGGAAUUUAUUUGCUCACCUAUCAUAUUAUUGUUUAAUUGCAAUUUUAAACAUAUAGGCAUAAAUGUAAGGAAACAGACAGUAUAAAUUCUGUAUAUCGUUUCUGAAGUCCUCGCCUGUAAGAACGGGAUUGGCACAUAUAUUAUGUCACCUGUUCGUGUAAUCUGUGUUGGUGAUAUAUACGCAAUACAAUGCAAAAUUCUUUCACUUGUUUCUUCUUCCACGAAAAGUAGAUAAAUAUUUAGGUAUAUGCA
rnacentral:misc_RNA from 1 species